rnacentral:rRNA from 1 species
UGGGGAAUAUUGCACAAUGGGGGAAACCCUGAUGCAGCGACGCCGCGUGAAGGAAGAAGGAUUUCGGUUCGUAAACUUCUAUCAGCAGGGAAGAUAGUGACUGUACCUGACUAAGAAGCCCCGGCUAACUACGUGCCAGCAGCCGCGGUAAUACGUAGGGGGCAAGCGUUAUCCGGAAUUACUGGGUGUAAAGGGUGCGUAGGUGGUUCUUUAAGUCAGAUGUGAAAGCCCGAGGCUCAACUUCGGGACUGCAUUUGAAACUGGGGGACUGGAAUACAGGAGAGGUAAGUGGAAUUCCUAGUGUAGCGGUGAAAUGCGUAGAUAUUAGGAGGAACACCAGUGGCGAAGGCGACUUACUGGACUGUUAUUGACACUGAGGCACGAAAGCGUGGGGAGCGAACAGGAUUAGAUACCCCCGUAGUCC